rnacentral:rRNA from 1 species
UUAGGAAUCUUGCGCAAUGGACGAAAGUCUGACGCAGCGACGCCGCGUGCGGGAUGAAGGCCCUCGGGUUGUAAACCGCUUUCAGCAGGGACGAAAUUGACGGUACCUGCAGAGGAAGCCCCGGCCAACUACGUGCCAGCAGCCGCGGUAAUACGUAGGGGGCUAGCGUUGUCCGGAUUUAUUGGGCGUAAAGAGCUCGUAGGUGGUUCGGUAAGUCGGGUGUGAAAUCUCCAGGCUCAACCUGGAGGGGUCAUUCGAUACUGCCGUGACUAGAGUUCGGUAGAGGAGUGUGGAAUUCCUGGUGGAGCGGUGAAAUGCGCAGAGAUCAGGAGGAACACCCGUAGCGAAGGCGGCACUCUGGGCCGAUACUGACACUGAGGAGCGAAAGCGUGGGGAGCGAACAGG